AUUGUUUUCCAGAGCUGAACCAAUAAGAGAUGUUGUUUGUGUCUCUGUGAGAGCAUAUUUAAGAAAG